AAAAACAAACAAACAAAAAAAAACAGCUACUCAGAUUUACAAGUGCGACUACGAGUCAGUAGUGUUUUAAAAUAAUGCUCAUAACACCAAUGUAGAAUGAAAAUAAAAGGAGGAUAGCCUUGGAGGACACCUGCAGCGCGUGUAGACAAGAGUUGCGAGCUGCUAACGCAGAGCUCUGCAACAUGUUCAUGUAGACGUUUCCUGUGGGUGUCCAUGUGGGUUUCCUCUGGUUACAUCCCACCUCCCAGAAACAUGCAGCCACCAGAUGUCUCUCAAGUUCUUGAGUAUGUCCUAUUCCUUAGAUGUUUGGAUCUUCCCCAAAAGUUGGCUUUUGAAUACUGCAAACAGAUGGAGUCCAUGCAGAGGAUAAACAGGCUUGGGAAACACUAAUGAUAAAAUGAUGUGAACGCUUUUUCAGUUCUAUGCAAGGUCAUAACACAGGCUUGAAUCUUAUUAAUUAAGAUAUGAUAACCAUACUAAUGAAUUUCACAGUUCCUGGCACAUCACAGGGUCUGUUUACAAUGUCAUAUUUUUGAAAAAUGAUAAUUCUGUUAAACAGUAUAUUCAGCAGCAGGGCAUGCUUUGUUUUAUUAGAGAGAUUGCUCGAAUUUUCUUUAAACUGGCUUUAUAAUUAAGUGGGUUGAUCUUAGCCUUAAACAGUGUGUUAAAAAUGUAGAAAUAGGAUCUAUGGUACAUAUAGCACCAUGUGUGAUUGUGUGAUGUGUGAACAACUACUUAUUUUACUGGAAUUUCCUAGAAUUAAGCAUUUUGAGUUUGCCCUCUAGUGGUCAACUGAUCAACUGUAUAUUACUUUAUUUUUGUCUGUCUGAGCUGCCAUACCACAUCAAAAGGAUUCUUUCACAUAACUUCAUUAAUAAUUUAACAACCAAACUUAAAUUUUAAGUCAUUAGAAUAAUAAAAUACAUUAUCAAACAUGGAAAGACUGUGAGCAAACCUUUGUGAACAUAUUUUUUAUGUCAUCAUUUUGGCCUAAAUGUAGACAAACAUAUGUUUUUACUUGCAUUUUACUCUUAUUCUGCCAGCUACACACACCUCUUAACAGAAGGCACUUACAGACUAUUACGAAAUGUAUAACAUGAGAAGAGUUCAUGGUGCAUAUCAUCUUGGUUUGAUUUAAAUGAUUUGGUUUCUAUUCUUUCUUUUACAAUUGUUUAAUGAAUGUGCUGAAGUGGCUGCACCCAAUCAACAAUCACCACACCAUUUAUUUGGAGGCACUUCCAGAAUCUACAGGCAAGUAUUCUGUAUAUAACACACAUUUUCCAGUCUAUUUUCCAUUGAGGAUAUUCCAGUAAAUUCAUUGUUUAUAACAUAAUACAAAAUAUACAACCAUUUUAGAUUUCAUAGUAAGGGCAUGCUGGUAUCUUAAUCCCUUAUACUCUAGAAGUUUUUUUUAAUCAACUGCUGCAUUCUAUAGCUGGAAUACAAUAGAUAUUGCUGAUUUUCCUACUAUGACCCACCUGAUUUAAUUAACUAAUUAUUGACCAGGUUUAUUAAGAUAAUAUAAGUUAAGAUAAUAAGUUAGUGCAGGGGGAAAAAAAAAAACAGACAUACUGAUGUUAUUGAACUGAUUGAGCUGCACUCCAUUGGAGGCUUUUACUGUAUAUAGCUACGUCUUGUUUAUUUGUUUCUUUUUUCUGCUAUGUAAUUAUUACAACUAUAUGAUGCUCAUUAUGGCUAAGUUAUCAGCCCAUUCUGUUGACCUUAAGAGCAAAAAGGUAUCAGAAAUUCAUAGUAUGAUAACUGUAAAACCCAGCAUCAUGUUUUUUGGCAUAGCAAUUUCAUAAUUUCAUAUUAAAUGACAUUAAAAAUAGGUAACACUGUUUUAGAAAUAACAUACAGUAAAAUAUUUUAAGUUUCUAGAGCAUACAAUAAAAUAAAUAUUGUUUUGAACGCGUCCCAGAAGGUGAUGAAACCGAAAAUGGUGUAUGGUGUAUUGUAAACUAAAUGACCAUUUGUGGCAAAUUCAUAGUGUCUCGAUUCAUAGUGGCUGAGUUGUAUAGCCAGAUAUAAAUAAAUAGUAUUUGAGUAUAACUAUUUCAGAUAUCGUCAUCAUGGUAUGCCAUUAUACCCCCAUAUAUCAAGCCUUUUUCUUUAUCUUGUAUCUCUGCACUGUCGAUGGUAAUCUUGCCUAAAGACCCAGAGCCCUCCAAUAGACUUGCAAAUCGCCCUUCCCUUCUGUCACUGCAUUAGCAUACAGAUGUUGUUAAAAAGAGAAAGUUGCCUCACAAAAGAAGUGGCCCUAGAUUUUAUUUACGGCCUCCGACCCCCAUGACCAGAAAGAAAGGCAGGAACCAUUGUCCUUGGACGAGCUCUCAUCUGUUCAUU